rnacentral:lncRNA from 1 species
UCAUCCCUGACCUGUGAAUACAUCAACUAAAAAAAUAGAGGAGGCUUUAGAGUUCACAAGAGAAAAAAGAACCGAAAUAACAGGCUAAAGUAUAUAAAAGUAAUGGUGUUCAAUGCCAAGUAGGCCAAGAAGUGCAUCCUUAUAUGCCCCAAAACUUUGUAAAGAUGUCACUAGACAUACGCCGCCCCUUCAACCCCCAGGUGGGGAAUUAUAUGUUGUUCAUGAACCCAAUGGUGGCAGACCAAAAUUCCCCCUUGACGAACUCUUCAAGACUAAUUCAUCUAAUAAACCCACCCAACAGGAACAGAGCCAUGAACUUAAUAAUAUGGAACUGUAGGGUGCCAACGGGUAGGACUUUAGGCAUAACUUUAGGUCUUUGGUGGACUGGCACAAGCAUCAUACGGUGGCUUUGUUGGAAACCAAAAUGCAAAACCACUUGCUACUUCUCAAUGACAUCUCCUUCAACUGAGUCAUUGAAGUCCCCGCUGUUGGAAAUUUUGGUGGGCUUGCCGUUCUAUGGGAUGACUCGUUGCUGGACCUUGAUGAAGUUGCUACUACGGAUCAGGAGAUUCAUGAUAUUGUCAUGGUAAUAAAUAAAAACAAUUCUCAAUUAUUUAGCUACAUUUAUGCUAGCAACAACAGGAACAAACAUAGGAACUUAUGGAAGAAUAUUAAGGACAUUAAGGACACUAACCCAGGUAAGUGGUUGAUUGGAGGAGACUUCAACGGACUACUCUUAAAUUCAGAAAAAAAGGAGGUAAGAAAAUUAACAACUCUCAUGCAUCAGAAUUUUCAGCUACGAUUAAUCACUGUGAAUUUAUUGAUCUAGGAUAUAAGGGUAACAGAUAUAUAUGGCUAAACAUAAGGUUCAAAUUGCGCAGUUC